rnacentral:lncRNA from 1 species
CUGACAGUUUGGCUUCCCUGUUCCAGGUGGCAAAGCCUGUGGGGUAUUCACCUACCUGCUGCAUGAAGGCAGCAUGGAGGGACUGUGGUGGAUUAUCUGCAAAGAUGGCCCAAAUUCUCUCAUCCCUGCAGGUACAUACAAGAAUGAGGAAGAAAGAUGAAGAAUGAGGAGGAAGAAGGGAGGAACAAGAGAGAGAGGUUUCCAGAAGUUCCCUAGUCAUUGGGCAUUUCUGAGACUCUUGAUGCAUAUGCCAAGUAGUUAUGGAGAAAGACAUAGCCGCUUACCUCUGCAGGCAUCAUUGUGUGAAAGGAAGACCGAGGCUGUCUCACCACCCUUGAAGAGAAGCCUUUUGCUAAGGUGAUAGCUGCAUGUCCAAGCCUAUUGCGUGGCAUGGAUUUUGCCUUCUACAGCCCACUAAAGGAAAUUGAGGUGUACGGAAUGCUUAUUUGGUUGACUCAGUAUCAUCCUAAAUGUAUGAACUAAUGUUUAGGAGUUUGCAGUUCACCCGCAAACCUCAGCGAUCCAAGCUCCCCUGGAUGACCAUCACUCACCUAGAAAAGAACAAUAACAGGACCUGUUUUGCUAAUCCAGGACUGUUCUCCAGCACUAACUCUAAAUAAUCCCUUCUGUUAGAGUCCACUUUCUGGAACCUGUUGCCUCCGUUUUCAACGUUUCCCAAACUUGGUCCGUUGUGUGAGUUGGCUGUUAAAAGUUCCAGGGAGAGGACAUCUUAUUCUUAUUGGAUCACGCACAGUGCCUGAAGCAUUCUGUUGCAUGUAGAAAUCAGUAAAUUGCAGAUGUAAGAUUCAAAACGAGACUUCACAUCUACCGACUUCAGUGAUCCUGAAAUUUGUCCACAGAGAGCAUUUAACAUAACUGUCUUCAUCAUCUCCUUCUCUAAUUAAAAACUAUGG